AUUGAACGCUGGCGGCAGGCCUAACACAUGCAAGUCGAGCGGAUGAGUGGAGCUUGCUCCAUGAUUCAGCGGCGGACAGGUGAGUAAUGCCUAGGAAUCUGCCUGGUAGUGGGGGACAACGUUUCGAAAGGAACGCUAAUACCGCAUACGUCCUACGGGAGAAAGUGGGGGAUCUUCGGACCUCACGCUAUCAGAUGAGCCUAGGUCGGAUUAGCUAGUUGGUGAGGUAAAGGCUCACCAAGGCGACGAUCCGUAACUGGUCUGAGAGGAUGAUCAGUCACACUGGAACUGAGACACGGUCCAGACUCCUACGGGAGGCAGCAGUGGGGAAUAUUGGACAAUGGGCGAAAGCCUGAUCCAGCCAUGCCGCGUGUGUGAAGAAGGUCUUCGGAUUGUAAAGCACUUUAAGUUGGGAGGAAGGGCAGUAAGUUAAUACCUUGCUGUUUUGACGUUACCAACAGAAUAAGCACCGGCUAACUUCGUGCCAGCCGCCGCAGUAAUAC
rnacentral:rRNA from 1 species